AUGCGUUGUUGGGUAGGGGAGCGUUCUGUAAGCCUGUGAAGGUGUGCUGUGAGGCAUGCUGGAGGUAUCAGAAGUGCGAAUGCUGACAUAAGUAACGAUAAAGCGGGUGAAAAGCCCGCUCGCCGGAAGACCAAGGGUUCCUGUCCAACGUUAAUCGGGGCAGGGUGAGUCGACCCCUAAGGCGAGGCCGAAAGGCGUAGUCGAUGGGAAACAGGUUAAUAUUCCUGUACUUGGUGUUACUGCGAAGGGGGGACGGAGAAGGCUAUGUUGGCCGGGCGACGGUUGUCCCGGUUUAAGCGUGUAGGCUGGUUUUCCAGGCAAAUCCGGAAAAUCAAGGCUGAGGCGUGAUGACGAGGCACUACGGUGCUGAAGCAACAAAUGCCCUGCUUCCAGGAAAAGCCUCUAAGCAUCAGGUAACAUCAAAUCGUACCCCAAACCGACACAGGUGGUCAGGUAGAGAAUACCAAGGCGCUUGAGAGAACUCGGGUGAAGGAACUAGGCAAAAUGGUGCCGUAACUUCGGGAGAAGGCACGCUGAUAUGUAGGUGAAGUCCCUCGCGGAUGGAGCUGAAAUCAGUCGAAGAUACCAGCUGGCUGCAACUGUUUAUUAAAAACACAGCACUGUGCAAACACGAAAGUGGACGUAUACGGUGUGACGCCUGCCCGGUGC
rnacentral:rRNA from 1 species